GUGGCCGAAGCGGCCCGACGAUCCGGGCAUUCUUAGGAGAAUGCUGGGCAAGGGCCACAAAUCGGUGACUGCAGGAAAUUGCCAGCAGGGGAGGCAGCCUUCCUUCGUACCUGAUGUGGAUUCCCUUUCCCGGACAUCCUAGAGAUUUUUUUAGGAUUGGUGACUGAUAAACACAGUGUGUUUUGAUGGAUGGUUUUAGUUAGUGGUGCUUGUUUUAUUUUGGUUGUGGAACUAUUUAUCUUGGGGUUUUUGUUUUGUUUUUUUUUUUUUUUGUGAGUAUUUUAAAUAAGAUUUGAGACAGUGAGUAGGACUGUCAUGUAGUUUAUUUUUUGUGGAAACAUAAGUAUACCUUUAGGUUAUGAAAUUGACAGGACUACUUUAUUGACUACUUACCAAGUCUUUUUUAGGAGUAGGUUUUUGCAAGUCUGAUUUUGAAA